UACGAAGGACCCGAGCGUUAUCCGGAUUUAUUGGGUUUAAAGGGUGCGUAGGCGGAUUUACAAGUCAGUGGUGAAAUCUCCCAGCUUAACUGGGAAACUGCCAUUGAAACUGUUUAUCUUGAGUACAUUUAAGGCGGGCGGAAUGUGUCAUGUAGAGGUGAAAUUCUUAGAUAUGACACAGAACACCAAUUGCGAAGGCAGCUCGCUAAACUGUAACUGACGCUGAGGCACGAAAGCGUGGAGAUCAAACAGG
rnacentral:rRNA from 1 species